UACGUAGGGAGCAAGCGUUGUCCGGAAUCAUUGGGCGUAAAGCGCGCGUAGGUGGCUUCGUAAGUCCGUUGUGAAAGUCAAAGGCUCAACCGUUUGAAAGCCGAUGGAUACUGUGAAGCUAGAGUACGGAAGAGGCGAGUGGAAUUCCUGGUGUAGCGGUGGAAUGCGCAGAUAUCAGGAGGAACACCAAUAGCGAAGGCAGCUCGCUGGGACGUUACUGACACUGAGGCGCGAAAGCGUGGGGAGGCGAACAGGA
rnacentral:rRNA from 1 species